CCUGGCCCAGGCCUCCCAGGCAUGAGCAAGCAGCUGCAUGGUACUUAGCCACCAGCUGAGGUUAAAUCACAACAACUCCAUCGCUUGAAAUUAGAGAAUAACAUUACGAAAAACACUAACAAGUCUUCCCUUGAAAUCUUCACAUCAUGAUGAAUGUAUGUAAUUUAUCUGGAACAAACUGAAUCUCAUAAGCUCUUUCAGACCUGCUGUCACCUGGACACAUCUGCAAUGGUUGAAGUGUGCGAAAAAAAAAGCAACUCUUUGCCAAGCAGCAGGCACAAGCUAAAACAGUACAUGGACCCUUAGUUUUGGGUGGCAUUAGCAGAACAGGACUUUAAUAUUCAGCUGCCACUCGUGGCUCAGGGAGAAAAGUGUGUGAAUGCCACCUAAGAGGCAGCAAGGUCUCCCUCAGGCUCUCUCUACAAAGAACAGACAGCACAAGCAAGAACUAGAGAUACAGUAAACUGAAUUCACCAGCCCAAGACACAGAAAAGAUGCUUUACCUGUCAGAAAAGGUCAGCUGCAGAGUAAAAGCUCUGCUGCCAUGCUAGCCUUGAUGGGCUUUCCUACUUGCUGGUUUGGGAUCAGAAGUUCAACCUGAUUUUUCUCCAGCUGACUUUGGCUCAGAACUGGCAUUCUUAAAUAACACCCCACUGAUAGUAUAAAAAUAGAGUAUUACAAAAGUCAUUAUGACUUUCCUCUUGCGCCUAACAUUUUUGGUCAAAGUAAAAAACCUGAAAUUUAACAUUUUACUGACAGAUUAUCAUACAGCACCUUUUUUGAGAUCCCUAAGCUAACCUCAAAUGAGCUCUAAUGUUCAUAUGGCUCUGUGCAAUUUAGCUCAGAGUCAAGCAGCAUGACAAUUACAUUCAUAAAAAGAAAUACCCCAAAGAGAUAAGUUAAUUAACAAUUAAUUACAUCGGUGCAAUCUGUGCUAAGGUGAUUCUAUCAUUUCUGUUCCCAGAGACUAAUAAUUUGAAAACUGCAGAUAUGUCAGUAUCAAUUACAGAUGGCCUCCCAAAGCCAACCUGCAUAGGAGUGCUCUGCUCUGCCACCCUGCUAAGGAAAAUGAAAUAAGCAGCCACUGCCAUCACACAACUAGUAAAAUUAUUUUGCCUAACAAUUGUGCAAGACAAUCUAGGCAGUAUCAACAGUUGCAGAAAUGUCUUAACAUAUCUCACAGAAACAUAAACCCUCCAUUUUAUAAGCCUCUUACAUCCUCUCCUCUCUCGGUAUCACCCACUUCAGUUUAAUCCCAUUAUAUAUCAUAAAGCACAUCACACCAUCUGGGGAAAAAGAAGUUGCUUUCUACAAAACAAAUCACUCCUCCACUUAUAGAAGUCAAAGUAAUUAUUAUCUUGAAAUAAACCUGAAAUAUUUCCUAGAGAAAGAAAUUGCUGUAACUUGAGCGCUGGGAGAUGCAGGAAAUACAGACCCAAGCCUCAGCACAUCUAAUGGAUGACUUGUUUGCUGCUGUGUUCUCUCAGUAGUUUUACAUCAGUAUUAUAUAAUUUAUGCAUGGUUUAUUACAUAAUUUAUGCAUCGUUUGAGCACAAGGUGUUGGUGACUAACAUGUAUACCCAGUUCACUGCCAUAGCUAUAAGCAUAGAACUAUCGUCUUUGUUGAUCACCUGU